rnacentral:lncRNA from 1 species
GUGUCAGGGAACUGCCAUCGGACGGAAGGGAGGUGAAAGGGCUCACACAGGUUGGGAGAGACGCAGCAGCUGAAGAGGGAACCAACAGGGAGGUGAAAGGGCUCACACAGGUUGGGAGAGACGCAGCAGCUGAAGAAGGAACCAGCAGGGGGAGAGGAGCUGAGCUGGAGGGAUGGCUCAGAGACACUUCCAGCGAAAACAGUGGGGAGGUUUCAGAACCUCCUGUAAGAACACCCACUCCUCGCCGGAAACUGUCACGCAGAGAUUCCAGAAGACGUGUUUCCGUUAAGGAGCUUUUAUGUUGGAAGCGAUUACGAAAGCAACCACUGUCGGAAUCUGCUAGUGACUAGAGCAGCCAUGUCUGAGGGGCUCCGUCACAGACAGAGGUUUGUGGACUUGAACAAACUCUGAGGGGAUACGAUUUUACGCACAAGCAGCUCAUCAUCCCAUCACAGCAUUCCGACAGUCUUUGAAAGCAGCUUGUGCAGGAGAAGGCAUCAUGAGCAACCCAGCCGGAACCGGAGAAGCAGGAGCUGGAGCGGGUCCAAGCCUGGAAGAAAGGUACCAGAUGUUGGAGGUCCAGCUAGCGAUGCAGACGGCGAGGCUUGAGGAGAGGAGGGCUCAGGAUGCAGACAAAAGGGGAAAGCCACCCAGUUCGCCAGAAAGGUACCAGGAUUGGUGCAGAAGUUUGGGGGAGCCCAAAACUAUCAUGGUUUUCGGACAGAAAUGCAAUAUGCCCUCAAUCUGCAGUUUGAUGAAUUCCCUGACGAGGAAUCACGAGUGGCUUUCGUGAUUGAGCAUCUUGAAAAGGGGGCGAGAGACUGGGUUAGACCCCUGAUGGCAGCGAAUAGUGACGUCUUAAAGGACACGAUGAAGUUCUUUCGCGCCAUGGAUCUGAUGUUUUCCAGCGAUAUUGAAAAGGGAGUGGUGCGCAGACAGUUAAUGGGUUGCAAACAGGGGAGCCGAUCUGUCCGUGAGUACUGGACUGAGUUCACCAUGCUUGUUCACAGAUUGGGGUGGGACUUAUCGGCGGAACCCAUUCAAAUGCUCUUUGAAGAAGGGCUUUCUUCGGCUGUGAAAGACGAACUUUCCCGGGCGCCCAGGGCGGAGUCUAUGGACCAGCUGACCAAAUCAGCGCUGGCCAUAGGAGCGCGCCAGGAGGCGAGAGCAUUGGAGAGGCGGGAAGGGAAAGGGGAACGUUGGAAGGAGUUCCGCAUUCCAGACAUUCCAGAGCCAACUUUCCCACCGGCAGAGCCGAUGGAAAUCGGAACAGCGCGCGCGCGCAGUUUCAAAGCCCAGUGAGGGGGCAAAGAAGGAGGGAAAAGGCGCCCGGAAAUGCUAUCUCUGCCAACAGCCAGGUCACUUUGCCAGAGUCUGCCCCCAGAGGAAAGAAUGGCAAGGGAUGGUAGGAGCUGUGGAUGGAAGAGAAAAACUACCGGAGCAAGUAAAAGCCAACGCCUGGCUGCCACUGUCAGGGCACAGCAGCCAGGCCAAAGAGCAGUGAGAGUGCCCACGCCAGAACCUCCUAAACCCGCCCUAGUGAUAGAAGUGACGCUAGAGCUGCCAAACGGACACCCUCUAAAGAUAAAGGCGCUGUUGGACUCAGGCAGCUCCUGCAAUUUCAUGAGCAAAGAGUUUGCAGCUGAACACCAGAUACAGACAAUCCCUUUAAGCAGCCCCUUGCAGGUGACCACGAUCGAUGGCAGGGAGCUGUUGGGUGGAGAAGUCAGCUUGCAGACCGUCCCAAUGAUAAUGAAGGUAGCAAGGCACACCGAACUGAUAGCUUUUAAUGUGGCCACCUUGGGAGGAGCUCCCAUUAUAUUGGGGAUGAGCUGGCUAGCGUUACAUGAUCCGCUGGUGGGCUGGCAUCAGAGAGUGGUUUCUUUUGGUUCAGCACAUUGCUUAGAACACUGCAAAGAGGGAAAGGGUUUGGCAGGGGUCCAAGCCGCCCUAGCAGGGACUGAAGUAACAGAGAACGUGAAGGUACCACGACAAUAUGCAGAUCUCCGUGACGUCUUCAGCGAAAGGGAAGCUGACCAACUCCCCCCGCAUAGACCCUUUGACUGUCAAAUCAACUUACUCCCUGGAGCACAGCUCCCUGUAGGCAAGCUGUACGCCAUGUCAGACAGAGAGAUGCAGGAGUUAAGAGAGUUCAUUGACAAGAACCUGAAGAGAGGGUUCAUCAGAGAGUCCAGGUCGGUGGGGGGCAGCCCAGUGUUUUUGUGGAUAAGAAAAACACGAACAAGCCGAGGCUGGUGUGUGACUUCAGGGCCUUAAAUGCAGUGUCAGAACCAGUAGCCUUCCCUAUGCCCAGGAUUGACGACAUUUUGACAAGGGUGCGGAAGGGAAAGAUUUUCACAAAGCUGGACCUAAGGGGGGCGUACAACCUGGUACGAAUAAGGAAGGGGGAUGAAUGGAAAACCACUAUGUUCACCCCUUUAGGGGCAUUUGAAUAUUUGGUUAUGCCCUUCGGCCUACAAGCAGGCUCCGCAACAUUUCAAUCGUUUAUGAACCACGUCCUGGGGCCUUUGCUUUACAAGAAUUGUGUGGCCUUUUUAGACGACGUGUUGGUGUAUUCUGAGAAUGAGGAGCAGCAUGUGAGAGACGUCAGAGAAGUGUUGAGCAGGCUGCAAGCCAACCAGCUGUGGGUGAAACUGGAGAAGUGUCAGUUUCAUACCAAGGAGGUGGAAUUCCUGGGGUAUCGCCUGUCAGACAAGGGAUUGGCCAUGGAUCCCGGCAAGGUCCAGGCGGUACUGGAAUGGAAAACACCCAAAACAAAGAAGGAUGUGCAGAGGUUCCUAGGAUUUGGGAACUUCUAUCGUAAGUUCAUCCGAAACUUUGCCCACCUGACGGCGCCCAUUACGGACUGUCUCAGCAGUAAGAAGAAGUUCGUGUGGACUGAGGAGGCGGAGCGAGCAUUUGAGGAACUAAAAAGGGCCUUCGCCUCGGAACAACAACUCCUGCAUGUGGAUUUACAAAAACCGAUGAGAGUGGAAACUGACGCAUCAGACAGAGCGAUUGGGGCGGUGCUUCUGCAGCCAGGCAAGAAGGGGUCAGAGUGGAGACCGUGUGCCUUUUUUCGCGAAAGCUGAACAAAUCCGAGAGGAACUACACGGUGUAUGACCGAGAACUACUAGCCAUUUAUGAGGCGUUCCGGAGAUGGAGGCACCUGCUAAUUGGCGCACAACAUAAGGUGCAAGUGUGCACUGACCACAAGAACCUAGAGUAUUGGAGGACGGCACGAGUGCUCAACCAACGGCAAGUGAGAUGGGCCCAGGAGUUCUCCAAAUUUAACUUUGAGAUUAGUUACGUGCCAGGCCCAGAGAACAUUAGGGCGGACGCUCUCUCACGCAAACCUGAAUAUUUGGAGGGGAGGGGCACCCGAAGAGAGACAUGUCAUUCCAGAAGACCGCUGGGUGUGUGGGGCGGCAUUGGUGGGACAAAGAGAACUGGUAGAGGAAACAGAGAAUGAUGAAUACGCCCAGAAUAAGCUCAGAGGUCUUAGGGGUGAUGGAGAGGAACCAGGGGGUUUCGAGGAAAGAAAUGGAGCUUUGUAUUACAAGGGGCACUGUAUAUCCCUGAAGGAGAGUUAAGGGGAGGGUACUCAAGCAGUUGCACGACAGCCCUACGGCGGGGCAUUUUGGACAACACAAAACCAUGUGGUUGGUCACCAGGGAAUUUUGGUGGCCUAAGGUGAGGGAAGAUGUACGUGAGUAUGUAAGAGGGUGCGAGCAAUGCCAGCGAGCCAAAGGGGAAAGGCGGGCGCCGGCGGGGCUAUUAGAACCCUUACCAACCCCAGAACGACCUUGGGAGGCAGUGUCGAUAGAUUUUAUGACUGAUCUGCCGAAGUCCAAAGGGAAAACAGCCAUCAUGGUGGUGGUAGACCUACUAACAAAGAUGUGCCACUUUGUAGCUUGCUCGCAUGCAGUCACGGCGGAAGAGACAGCGAAGUUAUUUGUAGAAAACAUUUUUAGGUUGCACGGGGUGCCAUUGAGGGUGGUCUCAGACCGAGGAAAACAAUUUACUUCCAGGUUCUGGAGGAAGCUCAUGAGCUUACUGCAGGUGGAGGUCAAUUUUUCGACUGCCCGGCACCCUGAAACCAACGGGCAGGCGGAAAGAGCAAACGGUGUCCUCCAGCAAUACCUGAGGUG